UAAUCACCUCAUUAUUCAAGGUUAGUUUAUGUGUGGGUUCAGGAGUGGAGAUGUGUGGUUUAGGGGUGGAAAUGGGUAGGUGGAGAUUGGUAAGUUUAGGGUGAAGAUGAGUGGGUUUAGGGGCAGAGAUGGGUAGGUGGAGAUUGCUAAAUUUAUGGUUGAAGAUGGGUAGGUUUAGGGGCAGAGAUGGGUAGGUGGAGAUUGGUAAGUUUAGGGGUGGAGAUGGGUAGGUUUAGGGGAAGAGAUGGGUAGGUGGAGAUUGCUAAAUUUAGGGGUGGAGAUGGGUAGGUUUAGGGGAAGAGAUGGGUAGGUGGAGAUUGCUAAAUUUAGGGGUGAAGAUGGGUAGGUUUAGGGGCAGAGAUGGGUAGGUGGAGAUUGGUAAGUUUAGGGGUGAAGAUGGGUAGGUUUAGGGGCAGAGAUGGGUAGGUGGAGAUUGCUAAAUUUAGGGGUGAAGAUGGGUAGGUUUAGGGGCAGAGAUGGGUAGGUGGAGAUUGGUAAGUUUAGGGGUGGAGAUGGGUAGGUUUAGGGGAAGAGAUGGGAAGGUGGAGAUUGGUAAAUUUAGGGGUGGAGAUGGGUAGGUUUAGGUAUAUGUAAGUUGGGAGGAGUUGGAUCUGGAUCCAACCACGCCCCCUGGAUCUUGUGUUAUGCAGUGAGGACCAUCUCCCAAACCUGGCCAGUUAGGCUCUUUA